rnacentral:rRNA from 2 species
UCAAUAAGCGGAGGAAAAGAAACCAACAGGGAUUGCCUCAGUAACGGCGAGUGAAGCGGCAAAAGCUCAAAUUUGAAAUCUGGCUCUUUUAGGGUCCGAGUUGUAAUUUGUAGAAGAUGCUUCGGGCGUGGUUCCGGUCUAAGUUCCUUGGAACAGGACGUCAUAGAGGGUGAGAAUCCCGUAUGUGACUGGAUACCUAUGCUCAUGUGAAGCUCUUUCGACGAGUCGAGUUGUUUGGGAAUGCAGCUCAAAAUGGGUGGUAUAUUUCAUCUAAAGCUAAAUAUUGGCCAGAGACCGAUAGCGCACAAGUAGAGUGAUCGAAAGAUGAAAAGCACUUUGGAAAGAGAGUUAAACAGUACGUGAAAUUGUUGAAAGGGAAGCGCUUGCAAUCAGACUUGCACUCAAUGUUCAUCAGGGAUUCUGCCCUGUGUACUUCAUUGAGUUCAGGCCAGCAUCGGUUUGGGUGGUUAGAUAAAGACCUUGAGAAUGUGGCCUUCUUCGGGGGGUGUUAUAGCUCUAGGUGCAAUGUACCUACCUGGACCGAGG